rnacentral:rRNA from 1 species
UACGGGGGGAGCAAGCGUUGUUCGGAUUUACUGGGCGUAAAGCGUGCGCAGGCGGUCUUUUAAGUCAGAUGUGAAAUCCCCGGGCUUAACCUGGGAACUGCGUUUGAAACUGGAAGGCUUGAGUGUGGCAGAGGGGGGUGGAAUUCCACGUGUAGCAGUGAAAUGCGUAGAGAUGUGGAGGAACACCGAUGGCGAAGGCAGCCCCCUGGGCUAACACUGACGCUCAUGCACGAAAGCGUGGGGAGCAAACAGG